rnacentral:rRNA from 1 species
UAAGCAUAUCAAUAAGCGGAGGAAAAAGAAACUAACAAGGAUUCCCCUAGUAGCGGCGAGCGAAGCGGGAAGAGCUCAAAUUUAUAAUCUGGCACCUUCGGUGUCCGAGUUGUAAUCUCUAGAAGUGUUUUCCGCGUUGGACCGCACACAAGUCUGUUGGAAUACAGCGGCAUAGUGGUGAAACCCCCGUAUAUGGUGCGGACGCCCAGCGCUUUGUGAUACACUUUCAAUGAGUCGAGUUGUUUGGGAAUGCAGCUCAAAUUGGGUGGUAAAUUCCAUCUAAAGCUAAAUAUUGGCGAGAGACCGAUAGCGAACAAGUACCGUGAGGGAAAGAUGAAAAGCACUUUGGAAAGAGAGUUAACAGUACGUGAAAUUGUUGGAAGGGAAACGCUUGAAGUCAGACUUGCUUGCCGGAGCUUGCUUCGGUUUGCAGGCCAGCAUCAGUUUUCCGGGGUGGAUAAUGACGGUUUGAAGGUAGCAGUCUCGGCUGUGUUAUAGCUUUCCGUUGGAUACAUCCUGGGGGACUGAGGAACGCAGCGUGCUUUUUGCGAAAGACUCGUCUUUUUCACGCUUAGGAUGCUGGUGGAAUGGCUUUAAACGACCCGUCUUGAAACACGGACCAAGGAGUCUAACAUGCUCGCGAGUAUUUGGGUGUCAAACCCGGAUGCGCAAUGAAAGUGAAUGUAGGUGGGAACCGCAAGGUGCACCAUCGACCGAUCUGGAUUUUUUAAGAUGGAUUUGAGUAAGAGCGCGUAUGUUGGGACCCGAAAGAUGGUGAACUAUGCCUGAAUAGGGCGAAGCCAGAGGAAACUCUGGUGGAGGCUCGUAGCGGUUCUGACGUGCAAAUCGAUCGUCAAAUUUGGGUAUAGGGGCGAAAGACUAAUCGAACCAUCUAGUAGCUGGUUCCUGCCGAA